AGCGAACGUUAGCGGCGGGCUUAACACAUGCAAGUCGAACGAGAACGAGCCCUUCGGGGCUCUAGUACAGUGGCGCACGGGUGAGUAACACGUGGGUAAUCUACCCUCCGGCGGGGGACAACCACUGGAAACGGUGGCUAAUACCGCAUACGACCUGAGGCUCUUCGGAGUUUUAGGAGAAAGGCUUCGGCCUCCGGAGGACGAGCCCGUGUCCCAUCAGCUUGUUGGUGAGGUAAGAGCUCACCAAGGCUACGACGGGUAGCUGGUCUGAGAGGAUGAUCAGCCACACUGGGACUGAGACACGGCCCAGACUCCUACGGGAGGCAGCAGUGGGGAAUAUUGGACAAUGGGCGAAAGCCUGAUCCAGCCACGCCGCGUGUGUGAUGAAGGCCUUCGGGUCGUAAAGCACUGUGGGGAAGGAAGAACACAAUGACGGUACUUCCUUAGCAAGCACCGGCUAACUCCGUG
rnacentral:rRNA from 1 species